rnacentral:lncRNA from 1 species
CAACUCAAACGAGGGGACAGUGUUGUGCUACCACGUGUCUAAUUCAAUUCCUGUCUGGUCGGGUGGCCCCAAGAUGAGGGAGAGAGACAGGCUGUCUGUGGUCUGAGUGUCCUUUGCUUGUUGGCAGGCAGACCUCUGGACCCAGAAACACCUGGCUUGAAUACUGGAGAUAUCGCCACCUCCUCCUUCCUCCUGCUCCACCUGAGCCUCUGCUUCCUCUGCGGAGAACCUUGUGCCCAGGAAUCCACCUAAAUCCAGGUAAAGUGAAUGAUGCCAGGGAGGUCGUGGAUCUCAAGCGAGGUGCCAGGGCUGAGGGUGCUGAUUGCUGGCAACUGGCCUCUGUUACCUUACCAAGCGGGGUGUCUGAUUCAGGGAGCGGGGUGGUCUCAUGUGGGGUGAGUGUCCUGGCCGACUUUGAGAUAGUCCUAAUGCCACCCAUCUGGCAUUUCAGUGUGCUGCAAGGGAGAGGAGUAAGGAAAUUGGGCUGGCAAGUGGCCCAGGCCAGUGCAGACCAGGCUUCUGCUAUGAGAGGCGGAGGAAGGGCUGAGAGUUGCUAUUAGAGCACAUGCCCACCAGCGGGCACCAGAGCCCAGCAGCCGCCCCUGCAGCUCCCUGUUUGCACCUCCAGGCUCAGUGGGGAUUGGAGAUGGACCCAUGGAACCUCAAGGAGGUGCCCAGAGCCUGGUGUGUUUGUUCAUGAUGCCUCUGACCCAGUGGCCCAAUUUCGCUCAACUCAGUGAGGGGACAGAAUUCUGCCAUCACGCGUCUAAUUCAAUUCCUCUCUGGUCGAGUGGCCCCAAGAUGAGGGAGAUAGGCAGCCUGUCUUGGUAUGAGUGUCCUUGGCUUGUUUGAAGACAGAACUCUGGACCCAGAAACACCUGGCUUGAAUGUUGUAUGUGCAGUGUUCUAGAAUUGGUCUGCUGGGGAGCUUGUCUUCUGGAAACCCAGGCUCCUGGUUGUGAGUGCACUGUGUCCAUGUGGUGGUCUUUUGGAGGUGGGGUGUGCUUAUGGCUCAGUUCUUCCUCUCCAGAGAUCUCCACAACCUCUGUCAUCCCUGUGCACCUGAGCUGCUUCAGUGUCCGUGGGACACCCAUUCAAAGGAAGCUGUCUAAUUCCAAGUAAGGUGCAUCACGGCCAGGUUGUUUAGGAUUCUGAGUCCUGGGGAGGAAGGCUGCUGAUUUGAAAGCUGCUAUUCUGACUUAAAUAGGAGGGGUGCUGAUUUCAGGGAGCUGGAUAAAGUCGGGUGAGGUGACCGGCCUGGCCAACAGUUAGUCACUCCUCAUCCAUUGGCCAUUUGAGUGUGCUGAGGGGAGGGGUCAGUAAAUCAUGCUAGCAAGAGCCCAGGCUCAUGUAGAGCAGGGUUCAUCAGUGUGAGGAGGAGGAAGGGAUGAGACGUGCUGUUAGGGCCCAUGUAGACCAGAAAGCUCCAGAGAGACAGCAGAGCUCACCCCAAUGGUCCCCCCCACCCCCGGCCCCAAGAUCCAGGGCCAAAUCACCUGGCUCAGAUCCAGGAUGGAAAGUGAUUGCUGGAGACCCAAGUAGGUUCAAGAUGUUUGAGUU